rnacentral:rRNA from 1 species
GAUGAACGCUAGCGGGAGGCCUAACACAUGCAAGCCGAGCGGUAGAGUCUCUUCUGAGUCUUGAGAGCGGCGCACGGGUGCGGAACACGUGUGCAACCUGCCUUUAUCUGGGGGACAGCCUUUCGAAAGGAAGAUUAAUACCCCAUAAUAUACUGGAUGGCAUCAUCUGGUAUUGAAAACUCCGGUGGUUAGAGAUGGGCACGCGCCAGAUCAGAUAGUUGGUGAGGUAACGGCUCACCAAGUCAGCGAUCUUUAGGGGGCCUGAGAGGGUGAUCCCCAACACUGGUACUGAGACACGGACCAGACUCCUACGGGAGGCAGAAGUGACGAACAUUGGACACCGGGGGCGAGCCUGAUCCAGCCAUCCCGCGUGAAAGACGACGGAUCUAUGGGUUGUAAACUUCUUUUGUAUAGGGAUAAACCGAGGUACGUGUAUCUAGAUGAAGGUACUACACGAGUAAGCACCGGCUAACUCCGUG